rnacentral:lncRNA from 1 species
UGGGACCUGGUGCUGAUAAAGGUUUAUUUGGUUCUGUCCUACGACUGCGGUCAAUCCUUAGAUAGUUCGAAAAAGUUCAAUAAACUCGGCCCUAGUUGGAUGAUCUUGGGCCUCUGAUCUUUCACUACGUUCUAUGAAAGGUCUCUGUCGCAUCAUUCCUAUAAAAGAAAGGAAGAGAUGAGUUAGUGAUCUAGUUUAGAAAAGACAACUUAUUUUCUUAAAUAAGGGACUUUCUACUUACAGUCUUAGUUGUAAGGGAUUUGGUCUGCAUAACUGCUCUGAUACCAUUUAUGACAUCCUCAAUGCAAAUUAACGCAUAAGGGUGCUAGAUACAAAAAUAGAUUGCGAGUGCAUGAUAAAAUUUUAUACAAUGAAGUAAAUUAUUACAAAUCCCUUACUAAAAUAUAUGAGUUUCAAUUACACAUAUAUAUAACUAAGGCCAGAAGUGAUAACAAAAUAC